UCUCUAGUAUACUUAGCCAUGUACUUCAACUAGUGUCUGCUUAGACGUAUUGGUUUAUAGUCCUGCUGGCUCCUCUUACUGGCACUUCCAUGUAGCUCAUGGAAGGGAGGUUGCCUGGUAUGGUUCUUUGGGGGUCUCUGCUGCCGCUCUCCUUGUCUUAAACUUUUCCAUGUAGGCACAUGGAAGGGCAGGGAGGUGUGCUCUCCCUGCCUUAAGGUUUUCCACGUAGGCACGUGGAAGGACAAGGAGGUCCCAGAACAGAGCCAUACCGCCAAAUGUAAAUUCUGCUUGGACUAUAAGAUAUUUUGACGAAAGUGGUCCUGA